CCUACGGGAGGCAGCAGUGAGGAAUAUUGGUCAAUGGGCGGGAGCCUGAACCAGCCAAGCCGCGUGAGGGAAGAAGGUACAGCGUAUCGUAAACCUCUUUUGUCAGGGAACAAAGGCGGGGACUAGUCCCCGGAUGAGGGUACCUGAAGAAAAAGCAUCGGCUAACUCCGUGCCAGCAGCCGCGGUAAUACGGAGGAUGCGAGCGUUAUCCGGAUUUAUUGGGGUAAAAGGGUGCGCAGGCGGCCUGUUAAGUCAGCGGUAAAAGCCCGGGGCUCAACCCCGGCGUGCCGUUGAAACUGGGGGGCUUGAGUUGGAGAGAGGUACGCGGAAUGCGCGGUGUAGCGGUGAAAUGCUUAGAUAUCGCGCAGAACCCCGAUUGCGAAGGCAGCGUACCGGCUCCAAACUGACGCUGAGGCACGAAAGCGUGGGUAUCGAACAGGAUUAGAUACCCCAGUAGUC
rnacentral:rRNA from 1 species